UUCGCUCAAACUUAUCUACACCAUUGUCUGCACACGGGAGUUGUUCAAGGCCAAUAGUGUUAGAGGGGAUUGAAGAGAAGGGUACGAGAAUAGAAGUGGAAUCAUUGGACAAACCAAAACAGAAGGAAAAGAAAGGGAAGGAGGUGAUGAAGAUGAAUGAACCAGAGUUGGACGUCUUGAAGGAGUGAGACUUAAUAAAAAUGCCUACAGAAAAAGAAGUUGUAUGUGAAUCGACAUCAACUUUGCCAUUAGCGUUGAAGUCGAUUCUCAGAUAUGCUGAGAAGGUAAUGGAGAAAGAUUCCAGCAUCACUUUUUCACUACUCGCUGACCUUUUUGGCAUUAGUCGAAAGACUUCUAUGCUUCGAGAGGAUAUCGUUGAUCUUUGUAACAUGAACGAAGUGAAAACGUUUACAUUGGUGGCCUAUAUGAUGUACUUGUAUUCAUCUGUUAGUGGUUCGAAAGAAAAUAUGCAGUAUGUCUUUGUAGAUCCGUCCCUAAUCUCUUCUGGAAACACACAAGAAUCUCGAAUUCGAAACUUGUGUAGUAAAUUGAUGGUGUCCAAACCCGACCAAGUAGUUCUUGCUCCUUUUA